rnacentral:rRNA from 1 species
CGCGUAGGUGGUAGUGUAAGUCUGGGGUGGAAUGCCGGGGCUUAACCCUGGAAUUGCCUUGGAAACUGCAUUACUUGAGUCAGUGAGGGGAGGGUAGAAUUCCUGGUGUAGCGGUGAAAUGCGUAGAUAUCAGGAGGAAGGCCUGUGGCGAAGGCGGCCCUCUGGUGCUGGACUGGCACUGAGGCGCGAAAGCGUGGGGAGCAAACAGGAUUAGAUACCCCGGUAGUCCACGCCCUAAACGGUGGGCACUAGGUGUAGGGCUCGUAAGGGUUCUGUGCCGAAGGGAAACCAUUAAGUGCCCCGCCUGGGGAGUACGGCCGCAAGGUUGAA